rnacentral:rRNA from 1 species
UGCGUAGGCGGGCUAAUAAGUCAGUGGUGAAAUCUCUCGGCUCAACCGGGAAACUGCCAUUGAUACUGUUAGUCUUGAGUUCGGUUGAGGUAGGCGGAAUGUGUAAUGUAGCGGUGAAAUGCUUAGAUAUUACACAGAACACCAAUUGCGUAGGCAGCUUACUAGACCGACACUGACGCUGAGGCACGAAAGCGUGGGGAGCGAACCGGAUUAGAUACCCUGGUAGUCC